UACGUAGGGUGCAAGCGUUGUCCGGAAUUAUUGGGCGUAAAGAGCUCGUAGGCGGUUUGUCGCGUCUGCUGUGAAAACGCGAGGCUCAACCUCGCGCCUGCAGUGGGUACGGGCAGACUAGAGUACUGCAGGGGAGACUGGAAUUCCUGGUGUAGCGGUGGAAUGCGCAGAUAUCAGGAGGAACACCGGUGGCGAAGGCGGGUCUCUGGGCAGUAACUGACGCUGAGGAGCGAAAGCGUGGGGAGCGAACAGG
rnacentral:rRNA from 1 species